rnacentral:rRNA from 1 species
UACAGAGGUCUCAAGCGUUGUUCGGAUUCAUUGGGCGUAAAGGGUGUGUAGGUGGCGCCGUAAGUCGGGUGUGAAAUUUCGGAGCUUAACUCCGAAACUGCAUUCGAUACUGCCGUGCUUGAGGACUGGAGAGGAGACUGGAAUUUACGGUGUAGCGGUGAAAUGCGUAGAUAUCGUAAGGAAGACCAGUGGCGAAGGCGGGUCUCUGGACAGUUCCUGACACUGAGGCACGAAGGCCAGGGGAGCAAACGGG